rnacentral:tRNA from 1 species
GCCCCCGUGGCGGAAUUGGCAUACGCGUAUGGCUUAGAACCAUAUCCCGAAAGGGUUGCAGGUUCAAAUCCUGCCGGGGGCA